rnacentral:lncRNA from 1 species
GAAUGUGAGGCUGAUCUGGUUGUGACACCUGUCACCCGGUUGAUCCACCAGGGUUGAUUCAGCUGAUCCAGCUGGCUAGGCGGGUGUCCCCUUCCUCCCCCACCUCUCCACAUGUGUCCCUCCUGAAGCCACACUCUCUGUCAAAGAAGACAACCUUCCCUCAUAGAGGAGGACCGUUUCUUGAUCAAGGGUGCACCAGUAACUGCGCUCCCUUGCCAGAACCUCCAAACAAGCUAUUAAGAU